rnacentral:lncRNA from 1 species
UUUCAGGUAUGAAUCAUAGAACCUUACUGUUGCAAGGAAGAGAGCUUGGAGCUCCUCUUGCUGAACGCUUCAUUUUACAGAUGUGGAAAUGGAGACCUAGAGAAAGGAAAACAGUUGAAUCCUGUCCUGGAGUUGCUUUGUGUUUCUGGAUUUGAAGAGUUCCUGGGAACACAGGGAAAGAUUCCUAGAGAUGAAGGAGGGAGCUCUGGCCCUGCAAGUAGGAAGACAGUGGGCUCCAGGGCCCUUUGGGUGCAUAUCUGCUUGGCUGGAGGAGGCGGGAGGAAGAAGGCUGCUGGCAGCUCAGCUGAGCUCAAGAUUCUGGUGACUCAUAGCAAUGGGGGCGGCUCAUGAAAGCAACAGAAAGGAAAGAGGUCCAGGCCUGUCAGGUUGGCAAUGUGCAUCUUCUCCAUCCUUUCUGAAUUAGGAGGAUGAUAGGAUACUGUGUUUGAGAUCACACCAGCAGAAAGGGACCAGAAGGUGGACCAAGAGAACCAUUCAUGCCUCCAACCACAGUCCCAG